CCUACGGGUGGCAGCAGUGAGGAAUAUUGGUCAAUGGGCGUAAGCCUGAACCAGCCAAGUCGCGUGAGGGAUGAAGGUUCUAUGGAUCGUAAACCUCUUUUAUAAGGGAAUAAAGUGUGGGACGUGUCCUGUUUUGUAUGUACCUUCUGAAUAAGGAUCGGCUAACUCCGUGCCAGCAGCCGCGGUAAUACGGAGGAUCCGAGCGUUAUCCGGAUUUAUUGGGUUUAAGGGGUGCGUAGGCGGCAUUUUAAGUCAGCGGUGAAAGUCUGUGGCUCAACCAUAGAAUUGCCGUGGAAACUGGGAGGCUUGAGUACGUUUGAGGCAGGUGGAAUGCGUGGUGUAGCGGUGAAAUGCUUAGAUAUCACGCAGAACCCCGAUGGCGAAGGCAGCCUGCCAAGCCAUGACUGACGUUGAUGCACGAAAGCGUGGGGAUCAAACAGGAUUAGAUACCCUAGUAGUC
rnacentral:rRNA from 1 species